rnacentral:rRNA from 1 species
UUUUCGCAAUGCCCGAAAGGGUGACGAAGCGACGCCGCGUGGGUGAGGAAGGCCUUCGGGUUGUAAAGCCCUGUCAGGAGUUAAGAAAUGUAAGUGCGCUAAUAUCGCAUUUAUUUGACGAAGGCUCCAAAGGAAGCCACGGCUAACUCUGUGCCAGCAGCCGCGGUAAUACAGAGGUGGCAAGCGUUGUUCGGAAUUAUUGGGCGUAAAGAGCACGUAGGUGGGUUUGUAAGUCAGAUGUGAAAGCCUUCUGUUCAACGGAAGAAUUGCAUCUGAAACUGCGAGUCUUGAGUGUAGGAGGGGAGAAUGGAACUUCUGGUGGAGCGGUGAAAUGCGUAGAUAUCAGAAGGAACGCCGGCGGCGAAAGCGAUUCUCUGGCCUAUUACUGACACUCAGUGUGCGAAAGCUAGGGGAGCAAACGGGAUUAGAUACCCCGGUAGUCCUAGCCGUAAACGAUGGGCACUAAGUAGAGGGGUUUUA